rnacentral:rRNA from 1 species
AACGAACGCUGGCGGCAUGCCUAACACAUGCAAGUCGAACGAGAUCUUCGGGUCUAGUGGCGCACGGGUGCGUAACGCGUGGGAAUCUGCCCUUUGGUUCGGAAUAACAGUUGGAAACGACUGCUAAUACCGGAUGAUGACGAAAGUCCAAAGAUUUAUCGCCAGAGGAUGAGCCCGCGUAGGAUUAGCUAGUUGGUGUGGUAAAGGCGCACCAAGGCGACGAUCCUUAGCUGGUCUGAGAGGAUGAUCAGCCACACUGGGACUGAGAACGCGGCCCAGACUCCUACGGGAGGCAGCAGUGGGGAAUAUUGGACAAUGGGCGAAAGCCUGAUCCAGCAAUGCCGCGUGAGUGAUGAAGGCCUUAGGGUUGUAAAGCUCUUUUACCCGGGAUGAUAAUGACAGUACCGGGAGAAUAAGCUCCGGCUAACUCCGUGCCAGCAGCCGCCGUAA